AACAGUUGCAUAACCCUCUUUUUAUCUGGGGUGUUGACCCAGCCAUUCAUUCCAUGUUUGCUGUGGUGAGUUCAGCUAAGCUGGUUCCCAAGGCAACCGUAAUCCCUGAACAGAGCCAGCUCCAUUGGUGGUCAGUUACUACACGCUUUGUCCUGUCAGUGUCCUGUAACCGAUUGAAUGGAGAGACAGAAAACAAGCACCUUCAGUAAACAUGACCUAAUGAGGGUGGCGGCCUCCGACUAACUGCAGUGAGCUGCCUGGAAGGCUCCGGAAGAAGCCAGGACUCUCACGUGGACAGAGGCGCCACCCCCCAAAGGGGCUCCUCUCAGAAAGACUCUUAGUUUGGGGUUUCAUGGCAUCAAACUAUCCGAUUCAUCUCCAGGGCCAAGGAAUGAUCUUCUGACUGACCUUUUCUAAUAACUCCGUCCACCGAUGAAUUCGGGACUCCCAAAGGGAAACAGUUCGUAGAUGCCAAAGCGGAGGCAGGAAGAAGUGCAGCGCUUUGUUUAAGGCCACACACCUCGUAAAUGGCAGACCUAGGAUUAGAACCCAGGGGCGUGGUCACACAGUAUCGUUCUAGAAGACUCCACGAAAAUCAGAAUUAAUUCAUCCUCGGAAAAGGAAAGGGGAAAACCCAUUCUUCUCCAGUUACUCCAAUUCCAAUGUAAUUGGAGUCUUAGAGGACAAAUCUCAGAGUGUAUUCUGAGGCAUAAAAACGGGUGAGUGGAUGGCAAUUGGAAAAUGGAGGAAGGUUGCAUUGCUCUGACCCUAAUUCUUUAUUCUACGUUGAAUAUUGUGUGUGGCUCAGCCCAAGAAAGCACGAGUCUUUAGGUUGCGUGCACAGCCUUCAGGCUGACUCUGUAAAGCUGUUUCAGGAGCUCAUUGGCCACUCUGGCUCCAUUCCUAACAUGCACUGGCCACACCUUCUCUCAUACUCAUAAGUCACGACUCAUUUCCACCAUCAACACGAGGCCAUGCCCGUUAUUGUGCAAUCACUCUGUGAUCGUUUUAUAUCAUGACUUAUAAUAAGCGUAUCACCGGCCGAAGCUUAGAGUAUCUUUUUGUUGUGGUGGGAUUCUCUUCAAAGACCAACAGGAUGUACCAGCUUACAGCAUGAAUGUCAACAGCCACAGGAAUGGCCACUCUCAACCGUGUGGGUGAGUUACCACCCCGGCGUGCCCAUCACCAUCCCUUCUGAGAAGUAUUUGCAUGUUGGUUGCGGUCAGCCUUCCCUGCCGUUAAAAGUCACACUCCCUGUUCUCAAAGGAACCCUAAACAGUCAUGUCUGGUUACACUUUUCUCUCCAAGCCUGACAUGUCAAAGGAAAGAUGAGUAAAAACAGUGGCUUGCCACAUUUGUGAUGUUGCCAACCUCUGAUCCUACAGAAAUUGCCAUUGCCACGGGCUUCAGGACGAGCUGGGUGGGUCCCUGUGGCCUCAUACAGAGCGACACCACUCGCGUAGACGAAUGACUACCAGCCUCCUCAGCCACAGCCUGGUGUCCUGCCACGGUCUCCCUCGGGGCUCUCCCCUCUUCGGCAUGCUCCUCCUAGAACAUUGCUGUUGUCGUUAAUUACAACACAGGAGAAGCCAGAAGACUGUCAAGCUCCUCACUUCUCAGCGUGGGUGCCCAGGCUCAGCCCCACUCGGGCUUGCAGAGCACCUUCACUGGAGCCCAAGACCUCCCCUAAUUGGCUGUACAAAUUUACAUGUGAUCUGAAUCAAAAAUAGAUGCGUGCAAUGCAAGUCCUUGCCUGGGCUCGCUUUGUAUAGCACCCAGAACGGUGUCUUACUCAUAGGGGUGCUUAAUAAGCACCAUUUCAGAAGAACCUUCCUUGUCAGUUGUCAUCUUUGACAACAAAAGCCCUUGGUUGUUCAGCUUCCUUCUUAUCCAAAAAUACAGAGCCGGCUAAGGUGACAUUCCAGAACUUUGUGUGCUCACUGCCCACCUCGGACCUCCCUUUGAGAGUCCUAGUGUAAUUACAAGCUCACGUCUGCCUCCUUUAGAAAAAUUUAGGAAGAGAAAUUUAGGCAGAGUCCAGAAUCAUUCUGGAAAUCGUCUCCCUCCUCCAUCCCCAGCCCUUUUUCAUCCUGUGCAGUGGUGGUGGUGGUGGGGGGGGGGACCCAGGGCGUGUGUAGGGCCACCAAGCACUUCACUGUAUUCAUUGCAAAGGGCUUGAUCCAAUCACAGGCUGAGGAAGAACUCCUGGGGAGAUGAAUGCCAUUACAAAUCUUGCCCUCGACAUGAAACGCCAGUGAUUGUUUAUUAAAUUGCUCUUCAAAGAGAAAACACUGGCAGGCAAAUAUCAUUAAAACGGAAGCAAAGGGAAAUGCCAUAACCUUCAACAUGGCGCUUUUCUCCAUUACCCUCAGACCACUACGACUGGAAUGGCCAGUAGGAACUUCUGGCCCUGAGCCCCAUCAGUUACCUUCAUCUCAGCCCAGGGAGGGGUAACACAAACCACCCAGUUUUAGUACUUCCAAAUACCGCCAUGAGAAAAAACGACCCCCCAAACCCUUAACCUAAGUCCACUGUCUCAACUGCAGUGGAAGACAAAUUGUAUCAUACAUGAGUAACAUUAAAACAUAAAAGACAUACCCUCCAGUGAAAACCUUGCACAACUUUACCGAGUAAGCAGAAUUAAUCAUAGGGAACAAUUACCAUUCCUGGUCUGAAUAUUUAUGACAUAACAGAAAGCCCAUUUAAAAUACUUAGUAGCUCGUAAUUUUAAAAAGAGCCACAGGGAGAGGGGGAGCCAUGCUAAGUGUAUGAUGAAAAGGGGCAGGGGAGGACAGCUUCUUUCUUAAUCCUCCUCUCCUGUUGGUGCUCCCCACACAUCCUUCUCCCUCCUCCCCUCCUGUAUCCUCAUACCUUUUGUCAUCACCUUUGAUAAUGGCCUGCUGGACAGCAAUGGGAAGAUGGGACACAUGCUAACAGCCUCUGUCCCCACCAGUUCCUUAUCCGUUCCAGGUGUCUCCACCGUCCUCCCAUCUACCCACUCUCCAGUGGCCGUGUAGCAGGUAUCUGCAUGUUGAAAUGGAAAUGACACUGGACGAGGAGUCAUUGCUCUGGCUCUAUCACAAACCUCUGUGAUCCUAGACAUGACCCACAACUGCGGAUCUAUAAGGCUUUGGACUGGAAAACUCUAGGUUUCCUUUUGCUUCUAUGGACAUAUGAGUUCUUUGAUUCAAGUAAUUUCUAAAUAAAUGGAUUCAUUCACUCA